ensembl:snoRNA small nucleolar RNA SNORA1
AGCCUCAUUUUUUGUGAAAAUGGGCACAGUUGAUCAUGGUGUCCAGAAAUUGUCAAUGUGGCUAAAUUAAGACAGGUUUUGCUUCCAUCACAGUGAACUAAUUGCAGUGGUGACAAUGAGACCUGUCACACUU